rnacentral:rRNA from 1 species
AGUGAACGCUGGCGGUAGGCCUAACACAUGCAAGUCGAACGGCAGCACAGUAAGAGCUUGCUCUUACGGGUGGCGAGUGGCGGACGGGUGAGGAAUACAUCGGAAUCUACUUUUUCGUGGGGGAUAACGUAGGGAAACUUACGCUAAUACCGCAUACGACCUACGGGUGAAAGCAGGGGAUCUUCGGACCUUGCGCGAUUGAAUGAGCCGAUGUCGGAUUAGCUAGUUGGCGGGGUAAAGGCCCACCAAGGCGACGAUCCGUAGCUGGUCUGAGAGGAUGGUCAGGCACACUUGAACUUGGACACGGUCCAGACUCCUACGGGAGGCAGCAGUGGGGAAUAUUGGACAAUGGGCGCAAGCCUGAUCCAGCCAUACCGCGUGGGUGAAGAAGGCCUUCGGGUUGUAAAGCCCUUUUGUUGGGAAAGAAAAGCAGCAGGUUAAUACCCCGCUGUUCUGACGGUACCCAAAGAAUAAGCACCGGCUAACUUCGUG